CAAAACGACAACUCGCUGUUCCUGUUCUUUCUUUUCUUUUUAGUCUCUGUUUGUCAAAAUCAGUAGCACUGUUUUAAUUCUAAUUUUGAUUUUUGUGGAUUUUUCUCUUGCAAAUUUCUGAUCUAUUUUAUUUUGUUUUUGCAAAAUAUUUGGUUUUUGAUCCCUUUUCUUUUUCCCUUAUCUAGUAGAGUUUCUACUUGGGCCCUGCUUCUCCUGCUUCUGGUUUGUAUGUGUGUGAGCUUCAAUGCUCAAGGAGGACUCAACAUCUCCACUGGAAGCCAUUUGAUUCCUUUUCUAGAUAUGCCCAUUCCUUAUUAUUUUACUCAAACUUUCUGACUUUCUGCUUGCUUGCUCUGAAAAUUCCUUAAAAAGAAAAUCAAACUACCUCUUUUUUUUUUUUUUCUUUUCAUUUUUUUUUCUUGAAUCUCGUAAGUUUGUUAUUUUUGAAGGAAAUUUAUUAAUUAUGUCAUGUUGAUUGCAAAUUUACAAUGCAGGAGGCAAAAAAAAUCCUGCAACACACUAAAGUCUCUCCCAAUUGCUUCUGGCAUUAUCCUAGAAAGAUUGAUUCUUUAUUUCUGUUUGAGAUUAUUUUUUUCAUCUAAGAAAUAAUGCAUUAUACAUGGUUGUUAUAUGCUUCUGGUAUUGUGCUUAUUUUUUUAAAUCUUUUAAAUAAUGCUUCUGGUAUUGUGCUUAUUUUUUUAAAUCUUUUAAAUAAUGCUUCUGGUAUUGUGCUUAUAUAUUGUUUGUUACAGGGUUUACUAGCUGAGAGAAGACUCAUCGAGGAAAUUGGGAACAAUUAUUGCUGAUAAGACUGGAAGCAGGAAAACUACUCAUAUGAUUUAUAUUCCCUUGUAGUCGAAAUGGGAGGAUUACUGGGUUGACUCAACCUAGACGUGUGGCCGCAGUCAAUGUUGCAGUACGGGUUGCUGAGGAAUGUGGUUUGGAAGUGGGUCAAAAGGUUGGGUACUCCAUCAGAUUUCAAGCUCAACAAGGAUCAAAAUACAUGACGGAUGGCCUGCUUCUGAGUUACAAUAUUCAUCUGGGGGAAGGUCCUGGUGAUAUAUUUUUGAAGGGGCAUGAAGGGACUGAAUUUCUCCUAUAUUUUCAUCCCUACCAUCAGAAGAGCUAUUGCUAGUUUUUGCACCAACCCAAGCUGGAUUUCUUAAGGUAACUUCAAAGUACAUGUGAAUUAACCUUUUAUGUUUAGCUGGACCCCACCCCAUAUCUUUUGUAUAAUAUCAAUUUACCUCUAUUUAAAAUUUUUUGUUAGAUCCUCUCCCCACCCCUAACUUUGUUAUAAAUUCAAUAUUUAAAUUAUAUUCAGUAUUAUCUUUCAAGUUUCAUAAAAAUAAAAAUAAAGGUUUUAUCAUUUUUUUUUUUUCAAAAUCCAACAAAAAAUUUUAGUUUUUUUUUUUUUUAAAAAUUAACUUUUGGUAUAAUAUAAAUCUACUACUCAUCAAAAAAUUUGUAAUUGGCCCCUAUAUACAUAUAUAUAUAUAUAUAUAUUAAGAUUAAUUUCUCCCCUUAAUAUCAACUUACCCCUUCUUUAAAAAAUUUUAGUUAUAUUUUCCUUCUUAACUUUGAUAUAAUAUCAAUAUUUCAAUUUAUAUAUGGUAUUAUCUUUCAAUUUUUUUUUAUCAAAUUUGAUAAAAAAAAAAGUUUUUUAAUUUAGACAUAUUUUUAUUAUAUGAAUAAUCAAUUUGAAUACCGACCAAUCAAUUUUUUCAAAAUUUUAACCACAAAAAAAUUUAGAAAUUGGGUUAAUUGACUGAAUCUCAAAUUUAGGGAGAAAAUUGCUGUAAAAAAAAAUUAGAGUGCAAAUUGAAAGUAAAUAUUUUGUUAUUUUCGUUAAGAAAAAUAAAUUACACGUGCAAAAGGACGAUUCUUUUGCUAUUUGAAACAUUGUUGACAUUGUCGAUGGUGUCCUUAUGAACUGGGGAUCCUCUCAACUCUGACUUUCCAUGGAACAAGUAUCAUCAUCAUCAUCAAGUAUUAUAGUGGAAGAGUGGAAUGGGUCUUAGAAUCAAGGUUGCAACUUUAGGAGAAAAAUUAAAGCUUUACUGGGUUACUGAGCUUGCAAUGCAUUAUAAAUGGGUCUUUUGUAACAUUGGAACUAUCGCAGUGGUUUUUGAGGGACUUAAAAAGAGGAAUUUAUUCACAUUCCACCAGGUGUGUUUUGUAUUUCUAAUUUAUCAAUUACAAAAUGCCAAAUCUAGAUAUCAAUUACUGAUUAUUUCUUUUGGUCAUGGGAUGCAUACACUGAAUGGCAUAAUAGGAUGAUUUUGCAUCUUCUUUUAUUUAUUUUCAGACAAGAAAUGAAAUUUUGGAGAGUCAAUAUUAUUUCAUCAUAAUUCUUGAGAUGAUUUAGUAUGUUGCAUAAGUUGGUUUGUGAUUGAGUGAAUAAAUGCUGAUGUAGUGGUUCUCUAACUCUAGUUGUCUAUGACACUUUACUUGUUAGCGCUCAACUCUAGAUAGCAAUGCCAAAAUGUGGCGUUUAGUUGCAGAUCUCAUGAACGAUCUUGGUACGUUCUGAAAUCACCUUUAUAAUCUCUUGUAUUCACGCUGGCAUACGCAUAAUGAACAUAAAUUACAUGCACACAUACCACUUCAAAAUUGCUUCCUGCUGAUGGAACACGUAGUUUUGUCAAAUUUGAGGACCACCAGAUCAGAAUUUGGUGUUCUGAAUUCUCUUUCACAAUGCUUGUUUCUGCUAUGUUGGAUUUCCAUGUUGUAAUUUUUUGGACUUGAUGUCUUAGAAUGACAAGAAAGACUUGUAUCUGUUGAGGGAAUGUUGAUAGAUCUCAUUUCUCCUCUUUAACCUUCAGCAUUUGUGUAUGCGGUUUGUUUAGGGAGCCUAUCAAGAUCAUUCAGUGAGUUCUUAUAUUCCUUCAAACUAAAUAUGAAACCUUUCUGCUUGUUGUGUAUUAACUUUUGUUUCCAAAUUUUUAUGCGUUAUGAUAUUGCCACAUAUGGUAUGCUAUUUAUUGGCAUUAGCAUCAAUCAUAGUGUUCAUACAUAUAAAUUAUAAGGCUGUUAGAGGCAUUAUAUUCAUUUUUAAACUGCUUCAGUUCUCUUAAUAGUACAUUACUAUUUGUAUGUUUAGAUCCUCCAUAGAAGUAUUUCUUUUCAGUCUGUACCAAUACCUCUAUUCCAAAAACUUUGCUUACAAAAAUAAGAGCUCUCAUUAAAAUUUUAAUUUACUCUAUUUUUACUUAGCCGGUGUGGCAAUUGGAGCCACAUGAGCUGGUAUGAGCAUUGUGUUUCUGACUGGUGGAUGGGGAUCCUGAUAUAAUGUUUAAAAUGGCUAGUUUACUGUCAACUUGUUUUCGUACAUUGUUAGGAAGGAAGUCAAGAGACAGUAGCAUGGAUGAUUGGCAUGGCACUGGGUAUGCUUUUUGCCUGUGCCACUACAGGGCACCCACUAGCUAUUUGGUUUUGUUUUAUGUAUCUCACCUUCUUCCAUAUGUAUGGUGCGAGAAGAGUUCAAACUACCAUUACUCUUGGAGAUAGAUGUGGCAUUGCCUGGAGUUAUCAAGAGUUGAGCUUGUGAUAACAGGGGAGUUAGUUUGUAGAACAAAGAAGCAAAAUUCUAGGAAGCGACAUAUAUUGAUGCGUCUAGUCGUUACGUGUCACCUGUAUCAGGUCGACAUGAGGCAUCUCCAUUAUUCGACAGCGAGUGACAUGUGUCGUGUCUACUACAUGCCACAUGUCGCGCUUAAAAGAUGCCACAUGUCAACCUGAAUCGGGUGACAUGUGUUGGCCUCUGAUGUGCAACCCGUGUUGGUCAGUGUGGUGACAUGUGGCGAUGCCACGUCAGCUUGACGGUGACACGUGACAAUGAACAGUGAUACGUGAACAGUAUCCGUGAACAGUAUCGUAAACAAUGCAUGUGAACAGUGCGCAUGAACAAUAAACAUGUGGGAUUUUUUGUGUGGGUAUAUACAAUAAUUUUUGUGAAAUGACAAGUGGAGAUGUGCCUGCUGCACAAGUGUUCGCUCAGACUUAUAUGUUUCAAGUGCUUCAUCCUAGAAAUCAUGCAGAGAGGCCUGAGAAGUUCGAUGGAGCAAAUUUUAAAAGGUGGUAGUAGAA